AAGAAAUUGCCUAUAGUAUAUGUACAUAUUGCAGAUCUUAUAUAUAGUGAGUUCAUAUAGGUUAAUGUCACUAUAGCUAUAGUAGUGGAAGCUAAUUUAUUUUGUAGUAACAAUAAAAUUGGACCUUGGACAAGCGCUGGUAUUCUCGUCGUUAUGAUUAUGGGCUUACAGUCUUUUUAUCUAUAACGUAAAUAAAUGUAAAGUUCAGUGCAAAGACUGCGCAUCAAGAUCUGAUAAUGCAAUUUAGUUGAUACAUUUCCUCUUCAUUAAUAUGACCCUGAGUAGCGUUUAGGUUAUAAUAAUAACCAUUUUCUAACAUAAAAGACGUUAAAAUUGGUAAUGAAAUAAAAUUAGUAAUAGAUUAAAAAAUAUUUAAAGAGAAAGAAUAUACUUUAUUGCACACUAUAACAUAAUUAAUAUUGAACAUGUACGUAGAAUUUGUACCAUAGUCGGCUUAAUCGCUAAAAAGGAACUUUCCAAACCAAUUUUUGAAAUUUUUCAUUUAAUGAAAAUAUAAAAAUAAUAUAAUAUGUUGCAAUGUAUUAUCAACAAUAUAUCUCCCUUUCUCUCUGUAUCUCUCUCUCUUUCUAGAUAUACGCAUUAUUUUGAUGCUUGGAGUUCUAAAAAGUUUAUAGUUGUUUAUAGUUAGUCCAUAGCCGACGGAGGUAUAGUUUCUAUGGCUUUAACGGACAUAGGAGCAUGUGGUCCAUCUACUGUGACGUUGUUACCGGAGUCGGGGUUCUCAACAUGAAAUUCGCCAAUUUCAUUGAGACAUGAUUUCACAGGCUCAAUUGUAUUGUAUAAAUAUUAUCUUAAACAAUCAAAAUAGAAAACUGAUUGCUUUUGAAACAUGAAGUGAUAUAAAUCCAUCAGUUAAUGAAUUUUUAACAAGACAUACAUUUGAGAACUAAAAUUCCAUCGAUUCCAGCACUCGAUAUUAAAUUCCAUGUAAAAGUAUUAUUGAUUCCUGAAUUAGUUAGCAUUGUAAUUAUAGAUACUCCGUGUAACUAUCGCCCCGUGAAUUUCUCGUCGGAUCUUCUCAGUGGGUCGCGAUUCCUAUCCGGUGGUAGAUUCUGCGAAGCACUGCUCUUGCUAGGGCUAGUGUUGGCAAAUUUUCUCAGGUUGAGCCCGCGAGGACAUCUACCCGCCCACGCGUAGCUAGAAUAGCCCCAAUAGGCAAAAAUAUAAUUAUGUAAAUUAUUGAAUUUAAUGACAUUUCGACUUAAGCGAAAUAAGGCGAAAAAUGUCAAAUGACGUCACAUUAGGUACACGAUUCGUUAUGUAGGACUUUAGUCCAGGGGAUUUUUUCUUGAUAUGACCUACCUGAGUCACAAGAGACCUUUGUUCAAUAAUUACUUUAAAUGUUUCGAGGGACAGUCCCUUGCAAUUGUAAUAAAUGUCAAGACAAUUAUUAACUUUAUUUUAUUCCAUUCAUUUCUAGUUUUAGCGCGCGUUUGGACCUUUUUUUAUAACUGGGGAAACAAAUCGGGCACUUCGCGUAAUUCGCGUAAUUCGGUGCCAAUUUAGGAUUCCCAGUGUCAAGGGUAGCAGAGACUGAUAAAGAUACUUAUAUGUGUUCAAAUAUAUAGAUAAAAAAAAUCACACAGUUUGCCUGAUGUGGGAAUCGAACCCAGGACUCUCGGCGCAGCAGUCAGAAGCGCUAACUACUGCACCACCAAGUCAGUCGAAGAAGUGAAGUUCGACCUUGGUGAUGGUAUACUGGAGGCGGAGUAUCUCCAUCUGGUGUGGUUCUGUUGUGAAGUGUUUCAAUUUGAAGAUUGAGAUACCUGAUAAACUGUACAAUUGAAAUUUGGAUCUGUUACCUUGAGGGGUGGGGAGGGAAAGAGAGAGAGAGAGAGGGACGUAGAGAAGGAGAGGGCGAAAGAUUUAGCACCUUCAAUGAUAGUAGAUAGUAUUAUUACUCCUCGCAAGCUAAAAGUGUGUGACUCUGGCCUCCGGGAACUGCUCAGCCAUCGUCCCCUAAAAAAACGGCGUCUUAACUUUAAUUUUCUACUUCUAAGAUCAGUUAAUUCUCUCCCUCGACGAAGGACUCGGCGAGUAAAUUAACCCUCAGACACAGCCCACUGAGUUUCUUGCCGGAUCUUCUCAGUGGGUCGUGUUUCCGAUCCGGUGGUAGAUUCUACGAAGCACUGUUAUUCCUAGGGCCAGUGCUAGCAACACCUCCGGUUUGAGCCUCGACAGCUCACCUACAUGCUAGGGUAACGCUGAUAUAGCCUCUCAAGGCUAUCAGCAUAAGUAGGGAAAAAAAGUGAACCCUCAAUAGAAACUAAUAGGGCGGUGAACAAAACAAGCCUUGCUUUUCUGUUUUAUUGUAUAAAUUUCACCAGAUUAAAAAUAAAGCAAUAACAGCAUAAGUAUUAAAAAUGUAUUAAACAAAUAAAACAUUGUAUGUCAAUUACAAUAUAAAUGUAAAUUUUAUGAGAAUUUCUUUAAUAUUUUAUACCCAAACACCAUUUAUUUGUAUAAAUCAUUUAAGAUAUAGUUAGGAAUUCUUCAGAAGUUAGGAAAUACAUUUGUCCUGUAUCAAUUGUUUUCCAUCUUUGCACCGCAUUUUCAGGGCCAUACGAUAUUUUCUAUCCAGUCAAUGAAACUGGAUACCCGAGUAUAAAUCCCGGGUGUGUUCGCUUGAGCACAUCCGAUGCCGAAUGACGUCACUCCGAUAAUAUGGUAGAUGUUGUAAGCGGAGUCUACCUUUAAGUUAAUUUUGACUUGAAGUGGUCCUCCGGAGUCACCCUGUGACGCAAAAUAUUUAUUUUUAAGCAUUUAAUUACACAGCAGAUAAUUACGGCAUUUAAUUACACAGCAGAUAAUUACACAGCGGUUUAUUCGCCAAGACCAAUUUUGUUAAUUUUAUAAUCAUGUAAAAUCUGUCUAGUGUAUGAUUUAGUGAUUUGGUUGAUUCUUAAAGAUUAAAAAAAUCUAUAUUUUUCCAAAUUGAAUAUCAAAUGAGUAAAUAUUUUUAUUUUAAAAGUCUGCAUGUUUGUUUUUCGAAUCACGUAAAAUGGCUACCAAAAGAAGUAACUACUAUGUACUAUUAAGCAUUUAUUGAAUUUAACAUACAAUAGUUUUUAAAUGUUUGCUAUAAUUUCAAUAAAUACAGUGUUACAUGU